rnacentral:rRNA from 1 species
CCUACGGGAGACAGCAGUGAGGAAUAUUGGUCAAUGGACGAGAGUCUGAACCAGCCAAGUAGCGUGAAGGAUGACUGCCCUAUGGGUUGUAAACUUCUUUUAUAUGGGAAUAAAACGUUCCACGUGUGGGAUUUUGUAUGUACCAUAUGAAUAAGGAUCGGCUAACUCCGUGCCAGCAGCCGCGGUAAUACGGAGGGUGCGAGCGUUAUCCGGAUUUAUUGGGUUUAAAGGGAGCGUAGGUGGAUUGUUAAGUCAGUUGUGAAAGUUUGCGGCUCAACCGUAAAAUUGCAGUUGAAACUGGCAGUCGUGAGUACAGUAGAGGUGGGCGGAAUUCGUGGUGUAGCGGUGAAAUGCUUAGAUAUCACGAAGAACUCCGAUUGCGAAGGCAGCUCACUGGACUGCAACUGACACUGAGGCUCGAAAGUGUGGGUAUCAAACAGGAUUAGAUACCCUUGUAGUC